UAGCAUAUAGCUUAGUGCUGCUGAUGACGUC
rnacentral:piRNA from 1 species